rnacentral:misc_RNA from 1 species
AACCACUUUUUGAUACACAACAAACCAUAUAUAUGCCCACAAGGAAGACAGCAAAUUUGGUGGUCACCGUCAUUUGUCCAAGCUUCCAUGCAUAUAGAACAAAACAAUCCAUCAAUUUCACUUCGAUUCCACUCCUCUCCUACACCGCCUUCUUCCUUAUAAGCAUUUUGCGACGCCGUUUCCUCUCCUUUGCUCCUACUCGUAUCAUCUCCACUUUCCACAGCAGAAUUAUCCAAAUUAUCAACAUUAAUCACCCGCUCUGGAGAUGAAAUUCUCGCAGCACCACGAUCUCCAUACAA